GCUGUAGCUCAAUGGUAGAGUGCUUGCCUAGCAUGCAGGAGGCACUGGGUUCAAUCCCUAGCAAGCA
rnacentral:tRNA from 1 species